rnacentral:rRNA from 1 species
UACGUAGGGAGCAAGCGUUGUCCGGAAUCAUUGGGCGUAAAGCGCGCGUAGGUGGCUUCGUAAGCCGUUGUGAAAGUCAAAGGCUCAACCUUUGAAAGCCGAUGGGUACUGUGGAGCUAGAGUACGGAAGAGGCGAGUGGAAUCCUGGUGUAGCGGUGGAAUGCGCAGAUAUCAGGAGGAACACCAAUAGCGAAGGCAGCUCGCUGGGACGUUUACUGACACUGAGGC